ensembl:ncRNA R08B4.7 ncRNA
CAUGCGUUUACCCAAAAACAAUGCGUGAUCAAUUGACGCAGUGCCGAAAGAAGUACCAAGGUCCGGUCUCAAUUCAGAUCUAAUUGAGCAAUGACAAUUGCUCCGGCGUGGUGCUACCAUUCAAGAACCCCUCUUACUAGAUUCCCC